CUGGCCCUGAAUCAAGGCCGGCAGCUUCCUGAUGCUGUUGGUUUCAAUCAGGAGCCUAAAGAGAUGUGUUUCUGUGGUUUAUUGGCCAUUUUAGAACUUGGGCAGUGAGAAAUGGUAAAUUCAUUAGAAAGAAACAGCU
ensembl:snoRNA